CGGUUCUUCGAGGCAGGAGCAGAGCUUGCGCAGAGGGAAGAACAGAGAAGGCUGGCUGUGAAGAGACAGAGAGAGAAGCACUCGUAAAUAAACGAAGAAAGAGGGAAGAGAAGGAAGGAGGAGUCGUCCGCCCGCGCUCUCACAGCUUCGUUUUUCUCUCUCCUUGAAAUAAUAAUAACAAUACGUAAAUGAGUCCGCAGAGCCCAAGGAAGCGCGGAGAGCUCUUCCGACCCACGACCGUCCUCAAGAAAUGGCUCCACAUCAGGGCAAAAGAUUCCGACGACUUGAGCGCCGACGAGGGCGACGACGACGACGACGACGACGGCGACGAAGAAGAUGACCACUUAGAGGAUAUCCCAUACAAGCUAAGAAGACGAAAUUCAGAGACCCUUCGUGCACAAUACAUAGAUACCAAAGAACUCAGGAUCUGCAUAGGGACAUGGAAUGUUGGAGGAAAACUUCCAGCAGAAGACCUAAACAUCGAAGAGUGGCUAGAUAAAGAGAAGCCUGCUGAUAUAUAUGUGUUUGGUUUUCAGGAGAUUGUUCCGUUAAAUGCAGGAAACAUCUUCGGUCCCCAGGGCAGCCGCCCAGUUUCAAGAUGGGAACAUCUUAUACAUGAGACACUGAAUAGGAUUCAAACAGUAAAACCAAACUAUAAAUGUUACAGUGAUCCUCCUUCUCCAUCAAGGUUCAAGCCAUCAGGAGAUACUGCUGUCACUAUGGAUGAACUACUUCCUGAUAUGGAUAGUGACACUGAUGAUGAUGAACAACAAUCCAGUUUUCAUAUGGACAGCGAUGAAUGCCCAUCAAGCAUAGAUGAUUCGAAAUGCACUCUAUCUUCCAGUUGCAGUCCUAGUGCAGAUGCAUCCGUACCACAGGAACCUGACCAGCAUAAGUCUACAAUGAAGAGGCUAGACCGAUGCCAUCAUUUCACUUCAUUAGACUAUGAUGUGAAUUCAGAAACAUCAGCAACCCAGCAAAAGAAGCUAAUCAAAACACUUAGCAGCUCAGAGAGGAUUGGGUUGAUCUGGCCAGAACAACCAUUGGAGUUGUUAGCUACACGUGUUCUAGAUAGUUCAAAUUCUUUCGGAUCAGUAAAGUCUUUUAGAACAUACAAUUCUUUCAAGUCAGUACACUACAAGGAUCUGCCGGAGAUUGGUCCGAUUCCUGAAUUUAACUUGAAUAUCAUUAGACCCAGAAAGAAAAGAGCACCUUUUGUAAGGAUCGUAAGUAAGCAAAUGGUUGGGAUUUUCCUUUCAAUAUGGGUCCGACGAAGCCUGAGGAAGCACAUCCUGAACUUGAAGGUAUCUACUGUUGGUGUUGGUGUCAUGGGUUACAUAGGCAACAAGGGUUCAAUCUCAGUCAGCAUGUCUAUAUACCAGACUCUGUUUUGCUUUGUCUGUACGCACCUAUCAUCAGGUGAAAAGGGCGGAAAUGAACUUAGAAGGAAUACAGAUGUGCAAGAAAUUCAUCGUAGAACACGAUUUAGUACAGUUGCCACUGUUGGAGUUCCCAAAAAAAUCCAUGAUCAUGAAAGAAUUUUCUGGCUUGGAGAUCUAAAUUAUCGCAUUGACUUAUCAUAUGAAAGAACACAUGAACUUAUAUCCAAAAAGGGUUGGUCUGGGUUGGCUGAAAAGGAUCAGCUAAAGCGAGAGCUAAAGAAAGGACGUGCUUUUGAUGGGUGGUCAGAAGGUGUUAUAAAUUUUCCCCCUACCUACAAAUACGAGUUUAAUUCGGAGAAAUAUAUUGGAGAAGAUCAAAAGGGUCGGAGGAGAACUCCUGCAUGGUGUGACCGUAUUCUUUCAUUUGGAAAGGGUGUGAAGUUGUUGAGUUACCAAAGAUCCGAGCUGAAACUUUCAGAUCACCGCCCAGUGACUGCCAUUUUCAUGGCCGAGGUUGAGGUAUUCUGUCAUAGAAAACUUCAAAAGGCUCUUAUACUGACAGAUGCAGAGAUUGGGGAUGGGGAAAUUCUAUCAGAUAUAGAUUUUGAAGUUGGAAUGGGCCGUGUAAGCUAGGCUUGAGGAGGUAAGUAUCUUUCCUAGUAGAGUUGCUCAGUUGCAUCAAAAUUCAUACAAAUAGAAGCAUUUAUCUUCCAUCAAUAAGUUGGAUUUUUCAAACACUUCAUAGGUAGUUACAUCACACAGCACAUCUGUGAUCGGCAAAAUUUGGUCCACAAAUUUUGUUAUCAUCAUCCCAGGAUGCAAAAAAGCAGCUUGGAUAGCCUAUAUCUUUCCUUAAUGCAAGAGAAUAUAACUGUGAUAUCAUGGAUUGCUAACUUUUCCUUGGGCAGGUCCUUGGAGAUGCCACUACUAAAAGAUAUUUUGAAUUGGGCAGAUUCAAGUUAUCCUACACUCUUCGUGAAGCUAAUAGGGCAGCUGACUUCAUUGCAAAAAUGGCUCUGCAAGGGGACUGCUGUUGGGAAGCAGGAGAUCAUAUUCACUGGGAUUUACUGUCUAUUUUACAGGAUGAUGCUUAUGGUAUAGGCCGCCGGAGACAAUAGCUGACAGUGACUGGGAGAACGUAUGCUCAAACUGCUGUUGAACAUUUCUUCUAUUGUUGCAGAAAGGAUGCUUUAAGUGCUUAUCUACAAUGAUAGAUAUUCCUUAUUGGUGCUGUUGGUUUAUAGAUAUACUGCAAGUAGACGCAGCAAAAAGUUUUUUUUUUUUGUAGCUCUCUGUUCAAAGAAAUGCAGGAUCAUACUCUACUAAUCUAUAUGGUUUGGUACAUCCUUGUAGUUUUACUGUAUUAGGUUUGUAUGCAAAGAGAUUGAGAAGUGGCAGAUUAAUGAAUGGAAUGUAAGCUAUAACACAUCGUUUAUAAGAGUGUAUGAAGUGCUCUGUAUGUUUUACUACUUAAUGAGAGUGUAUGAAGUGCUCUGUAUGGUAGUGAUUUUUUCAUCU